rnacentral:lncRNA from 1 species
AAGACUCGAUAACUGAAGACGACAAGAGGAGAAACUACGGAGGAGUGUAUGUUGGCCUGCCCUCAGAAGCUGUCAACAUAGCGUCUAGUCAAGCAAAGACCGUACAAAAAAAUUAGAGGAAGAUAACGCAAUGGCUGGAUACCCGAGAGUGGGAUUUUGUGCCACCCACCCAUGAGAGACCAUAAAGGCUGUUGUUACCCGGCCUGGGCUAGCAGGCUCCACACCAUGGUGUUUUCCCUCCUGGCCACUCAGCACAGUUCACAAAGUGCAUGUCUUUUCACAAAUAAUCUUUUGAUAGUUUUUAUAUGACACAAUCCUUAUUGUAUUUAUAACACGACUGUAGGGCCAUGAAAUCGAAUUACUGAAGUAAUAUAUUGCCUCUUGUCCGUCGAUGUUUCUACAUCAUGACUUUUUAGCUGUGAAGUUGGUGAAUGGAUUCUUACAACCAUCUCCCAUUUUUACCAGCAGGUUUAACGUUUUUAUUUAAAUGCCGGAGAAUCCCUUCCCUUCGUUAAGAAUGUUGCAGCAUUUGAAAUGAACUGGUUCAAUGUGCAUGCUACACACACAUGUGGAUUAAAUUCUUCUCUUAUGUAAUUAUAAAUAUUCCCCAGCCGUCCAGUUCCUGUUCUCCCCUUGUGUAGCCCGAGCAUCUCAUCAUGUUAACUUGGCACCGUCUCUU